rnacentral:lncRNA from 1 species
UGACAGACAUAGAGAGGCAGAGACACAGGCAGAGGGAGAAGCAGGCUCCUUGUGGGAAACCCCAUGGGGAACUUAAUCCCAGGACCCCAGAAUCAUGACCUGAGCUGAAGGCAGAUACUCAACCACUGAGCCACCCAGGUGUCCCCCAUAUUAGCCUUCUUUUAGUCAGUCCCCCAUAUUAGCCUUCUUUUAGUCAUUCGAACACGGCCAGAUCAACCCUCCCUCGAAGUCCUCGCCAGUGCUGUUCCUUCCACCAGGAAUACUCUUCCCCACAUGGCCACACAGUGUGCUUCCUCCCACUACAUAUGUGCCUUCUCCCUGCAUGUCAAGCUCAGAGAGACUUUUGAUGACCAUGCUCUUUGCUCUCACUCUAAAUCUCUAUAUCCAGCUUUACUGCCUCCAUUAUACUAUUAACGGAAAUCACACAUACAUUUUCAUUUAUCUACUUAUUUAUUCUACUUACCCUUCUGGAAAUAAACUCCAUGAGCUCCAAGAUUUCACUGUCUUAGUCACUGCUGUAUCACCAGUCCCUACAACAUGCCUGGUGUAUAAUAAGCUCCUAAGAUAGAUUUGAUGGAUGAAUUAAUGAAUGAACACAUUGAUCAAUUAAAAACAGGGCCUCCAUUUUUCAAAAUAAAUACAAAAGGGAAGUGGAUGUGAAAGACAAAGAGAGACAGGAUUCCCAUUAUCAUCAUUUAACUGAGGCUUUCUCCUCCUAGACACUUCAGUUAAACAAGCAAAUAAAUUCCUUUUUAGCUUAAGUAAGGUGGAGCUGGGUUUCUGUCACCUGUGACCAAAGAACUCUGACUUAGACCAAAGGGGUUCAUACAGCCAGGGCUGGAGCCCAAUCACCUGAUUGCUCUCCUCCUCCACUUCAACUUGUCUAUCUCCCAAAAGGAUGUGGGCCUUGGUCCCAGUGGUGUAGGCUUCCUUGUGUGUCAUUCACUAUUCAAAAUGGCUCGGCUCCAGGCCCCUUAUCUGGCAAGAUAAGGCACAAUGAGGCACGAGGGCCUUGCCUGAGAAGGUGGGGUCAGACGUUGAUCAGCUGUGACCAAACUGGCCUGUAUUCUUCUCUUCCUGUGCCAGGGCCACCUCACCCCUGCAGGAGCCAGUGGCCUCCAUGUCCUGCCUGCCCUUAAAACAAGAGGCCCCACCUCUGGAAUCAGUUUUGAUCCAAAAGAGAAGCUAUCAAUCAGUUCUAGGAUCAUAUUCUAUACCAACAUCAGGCCCUAUGUGCCAAUAGGUUGGCUUGACUCUCAUUCCUUGGUUGGGUCUCUGAGUUGUUCCUGGCUGGUUCUCUGGGCCAGAGUCUCUGAAUUGGAAACCUUCCUAGUGAUGAUAAUAUGAGUAAAUGCUUGCCUUUAGUUGGUGUGUUAUGAUACAUGCCAGGCUCUGUUCUGAGCAUUGUGUAUGUUCUUAGUUCACUUGAUCUUCACAGUGAUCUAAUGAAAUAGGUACCAUUAGUAGUCCCAUUUCAGAGAUGGGGAAACUGAGGCACGCAGUUUAAAUGACUUGCCCAACAUCACACAGGUAGCAAAUCUGCAAUCAGGAUGUGAAGCCAGGCAGCCUGGCUCCAGAGCCUCUGUAUUAACAUUUACCCUAUAACAGUUUAGUUAAGACUAUAAACAUCUGUGGUAUAUUGAAUUUCCCAAAGAUGGAUGCAAUAGUAUCUCCCAUUCCACAUGCUUUUCUUACCAUGUCAUUUUGACAUCUAUCUCAUUGAGGAGUGGGCCAUAUAUUCCCUCUCCGUGAACCUAGAGCAUAUGAUACUAUGUGACUCUGGGGCUCCAUGAUAAAGAUGCUAUGGGGCACCUGGAUGGCUCAGUUGGUUAAGCAUUUGACUCUUGUCUUGGGCUCAGGUCAUGCCCUCUCAAUCAUGGCAUCAAGCCCUAUAUUGAGCUCCAGGCUCAGCAUGGAAUCUGCUUCAGAUUCUCUCUCCUUCUGCUUCUCCCUACACUUGCAUGCUCUCUUUCUCUCUAAAAUAAAUAAAUAAAUACAUCUUUAAAAAAAAAAAAAAGGAUGCUAUUUAUAUCUACCUUAUACUGAUGGGACGGACACUCAAUCUCCAUACCUAGCACCAUGCCCAAACUUGCCCAUGUGGAGAGAUUGCAUGGAGAUACCACACAUAGCUCCGACACCCCAGCUGAGGAGCCAGCUGUAACCAGCAUCACCACCAGAUAUGUGAGUGCAGAUGUUUCCUGCUUCAGGUCAAGGAGCCACCCCAGCCUUUGGGUCUUUCCAAAUGAGGAAAUUAGACAUCAGGGAGCAGAGACAAGCCCUCCUAAGUUCCUGACCCACAGAAUGCAUGAACCUAAUAAAAUGGCCACUGUAUGCCACUAGGUUUUAUACUGGUUUGUCACAUAGCAAUAAUAAUGGGACACACCCCUGCCUACAAUCUUGUAUACAGUCUGUCUAUAGAACUCUUGCCUCUGAACAGCAUCUGGUUCAGUCCCUAAUACCCAAUGACAGGUUCAUCAUAUUCUGCUACCCUGAUGUGUCACCUCAUCAUCCCUUGUCGGACUUCCUGAGUGCCAACAGCCAACUUCAAUUACCACUUCUUGUCUGUAACCAGAUCCUCAUGAUGAUGCCGAAUGUUAUUGGCAACACUGAACCUGCUCUCACUUCUUGAAGCUGUUUCUGACCCCUCGAGCUUGACCAUAGAUCUGUUUCCUGACCCAUUCCUCCUCCCCUAGCCAGCCCCAUCCAUUUGCAGGUGACUCAUUCACGAUUCAGAAAUGGAGCUAAUCCAGGCUCUUCAUUUGCGAGAUGGAAAAAUAGAGGCUCAGCAAAAUAAAAUGGUAGCGACUGACAUCUCUUGAAUCCCUAGUGUACAUUACUGGUUUUAACCUUCAUAAGUUACUCUUGGGUAACAUUAAUAAUAUUAUUGACUCCGUUUUACAGAGAGAGUAAGACAGCAAGGCAUUUUUGGCCAUAUAGUUAUAUUAAGCAUCUUCGGCAGGGUCCGAUGUUGGAAGGUUUGAAGACAAGACAGAUCAUGGAAGCCAAGAUGGAAAAACCUUUAGGCUUUUUAUUCUGGGCAGAGAAUCUACCUGAUUUCCCAGCAACACAACAGCCCUGGUCCAGAUUUCCUCCACUCUGGAAACACAUCUCCUUGUCAUCAACACAUCUAAGAAAUAAAGACCGUUCUUCUCAUGAGUUGGUACAGUGAGUGUGGCUAAGAAGAUCUGUAUUGACCAGAUCCCUCCAGUUGUGGUGCCACAUUCCAAAAUGUAAUACCAUGAAUCUGGGUUCUUAUCCCAGGAGACAGCACCAAAUCUGUCUUUGAUGAGCGUACAAUGCCUUCUCAUGUAUGGAAACGUUUAGUGGUGGCAAAAAGAAGAACCUCUGGAGUCAAACAAAGCCUUGUAUUAUAAUAGUAGUUGUGUGACCUGGUGCAAGCUGCAAGAGUAUCUGAGUCUCCAUGCCCUGGUGAGCACGGCAGUGAUAAUAGGACCCGUCUCAUGGGGUUGUUGUAAGGACCAGGUGAGAUAAUGCAGAGAGCCUAGAACAUAAUAAAGGUCCCUCUAAAAAAUGACCAGUACUAUUGUUACCAUACACAGAAAAGGAAUGGAUCCUUACCAGAUGGAAGUAAGCAGAAUUUCACCAUAUUCUAGAAAAGCCAUGAAAUUAUUUCAAAAUGCAGUACAAGCAAUCCCUAAAAUUGCACCAAGAGGCAAGAAGGCCACCUCCCAGAUCCCUAAGGAAAUGUUUCAUUCACACAUGCCAGCCCCUUACUGCACCAAGUUGUUAAGAAGUAUUUUUGACACUAAUCCUUCCUGGCAAUCUUAGGAUGCUAACAACUCCUACAUUUCAAUCUUUUCUGGAAAGUCUGGUGACUAAAAGACACAGUUUCUGACCUAUAGGCUGGAGAUGGAACUUCUUAGCCACCAGUCUUGAGAGAAAAAAAAAGUUAGCCAAGUGAUGGUAUCAGAGUCUCAUCCUUCUGGCAAAGAAGAGAGUCCAUAAAAGCCAGCGAGAAAAGAUUCAAUUGUAAUCCGACUAAUGCAUCUCC